UACGGGGGGGGCAAGCGUUGUUCGGAAUUACUGGGCGUAAAGGGCUCGUAGGCGGCUAUUUAAGUCAGACGUGAAAUCCCUCGGCUUAACCGGGGAACGGCGUCUGAUACUGGACGGCUUGAGUUCGGGAGAGGGAUGCGGAAUUCCAGGUGUAGCGGUGAAAUGCGUAGAUAUCUGGAGGAACACCGGUGGCGAAGGCGGCGAUCCUGGACCGAUACUGACGCUGAGGAGCGAAAGCCAGGGGAGCAAACGGG
rnacentral:rRNA from 1 species